AAGGAACACUGAGGAAGAUCCUCCACCUC
rnacentral:piRNA from 1 species